rnacentral:lncRNA from 1 species
GUUCCUGGAAACAAUGGGGACGUUCAUCAGCCAAACCAUGGUACGAUACUGCAUUACUGAAUCUCUCUGGGUGUUUGUGUUCAUUUAAAUCAGUAUCGAGAUUGAUAUAUCUGUGUUUUCAGCAGAUGGGGAAACGAGACAUUCAAAAAAUGGUGGGAACGCGUCUGUUCAGGAGGGAGAUUUAGAAACUAGUGUGCUUCUUAAGGAAGAUAAAAUCACAUCAAUGCCAGUGAUUGAGGGACAAUCUGUCACGCUACACACUGAUCUUACUGAAAUACGGGAAAUUGACAUGAUAUGGUGGAAGUUUGCAGAUUUCAAAGAACGCAGUUGUGCUAAAUUUGUUUUAAUAGCUACGCUGAAUAAAACAAACAAUGAGGUAAACCUAUAUAAUGAAACAAUUCAACAAUUCAAAGACAGUUUGAAACUGAACCUUGAUACAGGAUCUCUCACCAUCACAAUCAUCACACCUGAACAUUAUGGAUUUUAUAAACUACACAUCACCAGCAAAGAAGAGAUGGUCGUUCAUACCUUCAGUGUUGUUGCUCAAAACCUAAUGAGAAGAGAGCGGACCCAAAGACUUCUCCAGAGGAGUCAAACCUGCCCAUGAUUACAACAGAUGACCUUAUAGUAUAUAAAGACUGGAAUAUUAUCCACAUUUCAAUUCCACUGACAAAAACAAGAAACAUUUUCUACUUUUCUCAACAAUCUAACAUCCCUAAUGACCAAAAAGAAAACACUUUAAUGACGAAGGUAAAGUUGAGUGUUCAAUAUGAACUGACAUAAAACACAACAUAUGUCACACUACACUUGCAUUUGUCCAAAAAUAGAAGCUAUUAACUGUAAACACAACAGUAUAUGCUACUUAUAUUUUCUGCAUGUUGAAUUUUGUUUUUCAUUUGAAUUUGUUUUUC